rnacentral:lncRNA from 1 species
CCCCUUGUCAAAUGCAAACAAACAAACAAACAAAAAAAUAAAGAAAAUACAUUUUCUCUUGUGGGUUAGCGUCAAACCAUGUGAGUUCUGCAAACACAACUCAUAAAUUGCUAGGCUUUUCUUAAAAUGUUCAGGAUGAGGAUGUGCUAAUCUUUGAGAGCUCAUCCUGGUUCCUGUCAUCCAUGAAAAAACUUCACAAAGACCAAAACAUCUUCGAGCAAAGAGAGAAAACCUGUCUUGGAACAGAUUAUCAUUUCAAGUAUAGUAAAAAGAUCUAGAAGCUCAAACCAUGUCAUGUAACGACCAGUUUCAUGCUUUAGUCUCUUGCAAGUACAACGAGAAUAAUAGUGAAGUGAUGAUGACUUUAGAUUGAAGAAGAAGAAAAAAUCAAACAUGGUCUGAGAUGGUAUGCAUCAUUUGUUAGAGGGGAAGGUAAAAUAAGAGUAUUUAACUGAUAUACCUUUAAACUUCGAAUUGCAUCUCUUUGCAUUUAGAUGCACAUAUAAGGAUAGCUACGUAGGAGAGAUACCGUCAUCAGCUAAACUCUUAGAAAAUGUGAUGGCGCUAUCUCUCCUGCGAAGCAAAUCUAUAUGUGCAGUUUUCAAACCUUAGAAGAAGCAAAGAACACUCAAAUGACGUUUCUGUAUAUAUGUGUAAUCACUCU